rnacentral:lncRNA from 1 species
GAACUGUCACCUGUAUGAGAUGGUGGCACUUCAGGCCAUGGUGUUAACCUCCUGGGCCACAGCACCUGCUCCGGUGAUUAUCUUUGACUAGUCCAACUUUUCCAUUGGUUGUCAACUUUCACAAAUGUAAACUCCUCAAAGAUAAUACCUAACAUUUAAUUUGAAUGUAAUUAUAUUAUAUUUUUCUUUCUUUUUAAAUUUCUGAUUCCAGAUGACCUGAUAAAGAGAAUAAAUAUAGAUAUGCAUACAGUAGUCAGAAUAACUCCAGUGGAAAUUACCCUAAAGUUCCAAAGUCUCUAAAUUACAACCUAGAGAAGACUUGCAUCUGGGCUGAGGUACAUCUUGUGAUUCAAGAGCCAAGGGAGCACACCGAAGAAAGAAAGCCUGUUUUGGGACAAGAAUUAGACUAAGAAAUAACAGGUAACACUAUAUAAAACGUCACCAAAAGAGGGUGAGAAUAAUAUAACCUGAAUCAGAAACUUAAAGAAACUGACUUUUGUUUGAUCUACUCCAGCUCCUCAAGGGGCAACCUGAGCUGAGCAGUAAGGAUUGGGAGAGGAACUUACUCCACAGUGACUUGUGUACCUGGCCAGGGAGCUUCCCUGUUGGACCCAGAUUAGGUUUAUAGGGAGUGGAUGUACCACUUCCUGUAGAAUAAGAAUAUGACCAUGAGGCUCUGGUCUAAUAGAAGUAGUAGGACCUGAACACACUUCAACAAGUUGGAGAAGAAGCUUUGCCUGCAGGGCCAAUUCAAGGUAAUGGAUUUGUUUGUGGGUGCAAUAGGAAGAGACAGAGUGGAGUUCAUAAUAGCCUAGAGAUACCGGAGGAAAUGAUCUAUUGCUCUGGGACAAGCUGAUGAGCUGGCUAAGAGAAAAACCUUAGAAAAAAACAGUGAGAGUACCAUUUGCCUCUGUAGACACUGACCAUUUAGCCCACUUUCUACAGUCAUCCUUUACAGAUGAUCCUCUUUUUGACUUGGGCCAGCAAUGACUUCUGUAAGGGUGAUAAUGUGUCAGCAUAGCAGUGAUACACCAGAAAUGAAAAUGUGUUUAUUCAAGAAA